CAGAGCCAAUAAAACUUUUCUUUUGAGUGAUUUGCAGCUUUUAACAAACUGAACCUGCUUAUUUCUGUGAACCAACCAGUGAUCUCUUAUGGCUGUUCAAAAGUAACAAGAGAGAUAUCACCUUUUGUCAUAACUCAAGACUUAUGAAUGGCCCUCACCAUAAUGAUGCUUUUUGACUGAGCUCUUCUCUAACCUGAAUGCAAGAGGUUAGGCAUGAAUAUCAUCCCCCCUGUUCAGCCUGAAGAAGUUACAGAAGAUGAAUCUUCCUCUCUCUACAGCCCUUAGGAUUAAGGGUUCUCUUAUAAAAGGGAGGGGGUAAAUAUGUCAGAGGCAUUUGAACCAGAGAAACUCCAUCUUGAAUAGUCCCUGUGUAAAAUAAGACUGAGACCUACUGGGAUGCAUUCCCAGGAGGUUAGGCAUUCUAAUUCACAGGAUGAGAUAAGAAGUCUCCACAAGAUACAGAUUAUAAAGAUUUGGCUGAUAAAACUGUUUGUGAUAAAGAAGCUGGCCAAAACACACCAAAACCAAGAUGCCAACAAAAGUGUCCUCUGGUUGUCCUCACUGCUCAUUAUAUGCUAAUUAUAAUGCAUUAGCAUGUUAAAAGACACUCCCACCAGUGCAAUGACAAUGUACAAAUGCCUUGGCAACAUCAAGAAGUUACCCUAUAUGGUUUAAAAAUGGUAGGAACCCUCAGUUCUGGGAAUUGCCCACCCCUUUUCUGGAAAACUCAUGAAUAAUCCACCCCUUAUUUAGCAUAUAAUCAAGAAAUAACUGGAAGUAUCCUUAGUGAAGCAGGCCAAGCCACUACUCUUCCUAUGGAGUAGACAUUCUUUCAUUAGUUAACUUUAUUAAUAAACUUGCUUUCACUUUAUGGAUUCACCUCAAAUUAUUUCUUGCAUGAGAUCCAAGAACCCUUUCUUGGGGUCUGGAUCUGGACUCCUUU
rnacentral:lncRNA from 1 species